GGUCCCGUCUGCUGGGAGUGGGGACGCUUGGCAUCUUUAUCAUUUCUCCACUGUGCACAUAUUGUAGGCCCUGGAGGUCCAUCUGUUCUGGAUUGGUUCCGAGUUGGGACUGGUGUGCUAUAAUGUCGGCUUUCCCUUGAAUCAUUUCCAGGGCCUAUGUCAUUUCAACCUCUCAAACAUGUUUAUAAUGUUGAAUCAGGUCUUUUUGUACCUAUAAAGUUAUAAAUACAACUUUCAGCAACGGAUCUCUUGGCUCUCGCAUCUAUGAAGAACGCAGCGAAAUGCGAUAAGUAAUGUGAAUUGCAGAAUUCAGUGAAUCAUCGAAUCUUUGAACACAUCUUGCGCUCCUUGGUAUUCCCAGGAGCAUGCCUGUUUUAGUGUCAUUUUAAUUCUCAACCACAUCUUGAUGUGUCUUUGUACAUGGGGGUUUUUUGCGGGCUUUCCGGUCAAGUCGGCUCCCCUGAAAUGUAUUAGUGGUAUCUGGAGCGGAUACAGCUGAUGUGAUAAUAUCAUCUAUGCCUGUGGUAUGCUGCAUGAACACAUUGUGCUGGGUCUAACACACAUUUUGAUUUGUGACAAGACUUGACCUCAAAUCACGUAGACUACCCCUGAACUUUAACAUAUC
rnacentral:rRNA from 1 species